AAAAAAAUAAUGUUAAGUGCAUGUAGCAACUCUGUACAGUGAAUGUAAACAAGUACUGUAAACAUAUACUCAUGAGAAAAAAACAUUUAGGAACCCAGAUAGGGCCAGGGAUUUAGCUCAGUGGCACUGUGCCUGCCUAAUCUGUGUUUGAUCUCUGGUACCAAAUAAAUAAGUAAAUAAAGUAAGUGACUGAACAUUUAAGACCUUUCAGGCUCUAAAAUUCUCCAGCUCUGACUCACAGAAAAUUAAACAAACAUUAAGUCUCUAAAUUUGGGCAUAAGAAAUAUGAUUCCAAAUAAAAAUGCCUAGAGUUUUAUAGGGUUCCACCACAUACAGGAUAAUGAGAUGCGUAUUGUCUAAGACACGCCUUUUUUCUGGUCUUGGCUGCUGAAAUGCAUACCUGAAUAGCUACUAAGGUUUUAAAUUCAUUCGUUUCAUUUUAUGCGGCCAAGUUAGUUAUCCCAGGUAACAAGGAAGGACUUAUUUUGAAGUAAUAGAUAAAACCCAAGACAUUGUCAAUUGUGUUUGAUGACGAUCUGAAUGUAAGACUCUGCAAAUAUUCUGGUACAUACCUGGAGCAGGUCGCUAGGUGGAGCAACCCCUAAAUUCACGCUCCUCAUCUGUGUGCGAGCUCUAGUGUAGUCUCACUUUUAAAAUUUUGUAACAAUUGUUUAAUAAAUUAGUAUAUCUGUUGGGAAAUUUUUUCAAAUAUUACUUUUUUAUAUUGGCAUGUAACUGAAAUGGACUUUUUGGACGUCGCUUUUCUAAUUUUUUUUGGUUUUUUUUUUGGUCCUGAGUUCGAUCUCCAGUACAAAAAGAAAAGAAAACCUGCUGGAGUUCUUGGGAGUCAGGCGCAGGGCUUUGGGAACUGUUCUGCUGUACACUGUUCUGGGAUUGACAAAUCACACCCACUUUCCCAGCCAGCCUUACCACACCCUAAUCUCCUAUCUCAGAAUGAAGAAAGUUUGGAUAUUGGCUACUUAAACAUAGCAUAAAACUUUGAGAUUUGUCUGAUUGUUGUGUGUGCCUAUAGUUUAUUUCAUUUUCUCGCUGAGUGGUAUUAUGAGUGUGCAAUUAUUUAUCCUUGUAAUUCACUGAAGGCUUUUUCAAUUUUUUGGUGAUUACAGCGUUAAUAUAAACAUUUGUGUACUCUUUAAAAACAGAUAUAAUUUUGCCAUGAAAUUCAUUUUACUCCUAUUUGUCAUUCUAAUAAUGUCAUAGUUGUAGUUCUUACAUUUAAGUCUUGGUCUGUCUUGAAUUAAGUUUUGUAUUUGGUGUGAAAGAGGGAUCCACCUUCUUUAUUUUGCAUUUCAACAACCAGUUGCCUCAGUGCCAUUUGUUGAAAAGACUACUCUUUUCCCAUUUUUCUAAUUAUCCUCAUCAAAAAAUGAACAUCAGGGUUUAUUUCUGUAAUCUCAAUUUUAUUUCACUGAUCUGUGUGACUAUCCAUAUGCUAGUUCCAUGCUGUUUUUGUUUUUUGUUUUGUUUUGUUUUUUGAGAUAGGGUCUCUCCAUGUUGCCCAGGCUGGCUUUGAACUCAUGGUGAUCCUCCUUCCUCAGCCUCUUGAGUGCUGGCAUGCUGUCUUGAUUACCAUUGCUUUGUAGUAAGUUUUGAAGUUAGAAAGUAUGAGUUUCUCUAUGUUCUUUUUCAAGUGGUUUCAGCAAUUCUGAGUCCCAUGGAAUGCCAUUUACAUUUUAGAAUCAGUUCUUCAGUUUCUGCAAAAAAGCUGGGGGGCCAGGGAGGUAGCUCAGUGGCGCAGUGCAUGCCUGGCAAGUGUGAGGCCCUGAGUUCGAGUCCCAGUACCAAAAAAAAAAGGUAGCUGGGGUUUGGUUAGGGGUCCUCUUGAGUCCAUAGAACAUUCUGGAGACCAUUGUCAUCUUAGUAUUAAGCCUUCCGGUCAGCUGAGGGCACCUUCCUGUCUACUUGGGCCUUCUUUAGUGUUGUCCAUGAUGUCCUGUGCUUUUCAACUCCCAGCAUCCAUCCCCCAAAAGAAUAAGGCUAAGUGUGGGUUUUUAAUAGAUAGCGUUUAUCAGCUCGAGAAAGUUUCCUUUUAACCCUAGUUUGUUCAAUAUUUUUAUCGUGAAAAGAUGUUAGAUUUUGUCCGUGUUCUUUCUGCAUCUGAGAUUCCCAUGUGGUUUUUUUUGUCCUUUAUUAAUAUGGUGAAUUGCAUUGAUGGAUUUUCAUGUUUACUCAGUCUAUGCGAGCAUUAUCCUAAGAUAAAUUCAACUUGGUCAUCAGGUGUAAUCUUUCUUAGGUAUUUGUGGGUUUGGCUGAUAUUUUGGGGGGAAUCUUUGAGUCUGUGUCUGCCAGGGCACUGAUCUGUAGUUUUCUCUGCAUGUGGUGUCUUUGCCUUGUUUGUAACUGGGCAGUGCUGCCCCAUGGAGUGCAUUGAGAGGAAGGGGUUGUAAAAUCUCGGUACCAGUUCUGUGUUAAAUGUUUGGUAGGAAUACUAGGGAAGUCUUCUGAGCCUGGGUUUUUCUUUGCAGAAAGAUUCUGAUGCUGAUUCGAGCUCUUGUUAUAAGUCUGUUCAACUUUCAUUUCUUCUUUUUUG
ensembl:lncRNA